rnacentral:ribozyme from 1 species
AGAAGGAAAGAGAGAGAGGGUGGGGAGAAGAGAGAGAACGAAAGAGAAAGAAGUAUCAUAUGCUUGUGCAUUGAGUUUGAUUUGUUUAAUUGUACCUAUCUCUUUUUUUGCAUCUUUUUGUGUUUGAAUCAGCUGUUCAAGUACCUCAUUGAAAGGGGGAG